rnacentral:misc_RNA from 1 species
UCCGAGUUGACCCCGGCAUUAUCCGCUGGCAACAUAGAACGAGGGUUGCGCUCGUUGCGGGACUUAACCCAACAUCUCACGACACGAGCUGACGACAACCAUGCACCACCUGUGCACGGCCCUUACGGACCUCCCAUCUCUGGAAGAUUUCCGUGCAUGUCAAGCCUAGGUAAGGUUCUUCGCGUUGCAUCGAAUUAAGCAACAUGCUCCGCCGCUUGUGCGGGCCCCCGUCAAUUCCUUUGAGUUUUAGCCUUGCGGCCGUACUCCCCAGGCGGGGCACUUAAUGCGUUAGCUGCGGCACGGAACCCGUCGAUAGGGUCCCACACCUAGUGCCCAACGUUUACGGCGUGGACUAC